rnacentral:rRNA from 1 species
AGAGUUUGAUCAUGGCUCAGAUUGAACGCUGGCGGCAGGCCUAACACAUGCAAGUCGAACGGUAGCACAGAGAGCUUGCUCUUGGGUGACGAGUGGCGGACGGGUGAGUAAUGUCUGGGAAACUGCCCGAUGGAGGGGGAUAACUACUGGAAACGGUAGCUAAUACCGCAUAACGUCUACAGACCAAAGUGGGGGACCUUCGGGCCUCACGCCAUCGGAUGUGCCCAGAUGGGAUUAGCUAGUAGGUGGGGUAACGGCUCACCUAGGCGACGAUCCCUAGCUGGUCUGAGAGGAUGACCAGCCACACUGGAACUGAGACACGGUCCAGACUCCUACGGGAGGCAGCAGUGGGGAAUAUUGCACAAUGGGCGCAAGCUGAUGCAGCCAUGCCGCGUGUAUGAAGAAGGCCUUCGGGUUGUAAAGUACUUUCAGCGGGGAGGAAGGCGAUGGGGUUAAUAACCCCGUCGAUUGACGUUACCCGCAGAAGAAGCACCGGCUAACUCCGUGCCAGCAGCCGCGGUAAUACGGAGGGUGCAAGCGUUAAUCGGAAUUACUGGGCGUAAAGCGCACGCAGGCGGUCUGUCAAGUCGGAUGUGAAAUCCCCGGGCUCAACCCGGGAACUGCAUUCGAAACUGGCAGGCUAGAGUCUUGUAGAGGGGGGUAGAAUUCCAG